UGGGCAGGGGGGGCGGCUAUAAUGCAGUCGACGAACUCUGGUAUUGAUUGGUGCUUGCAUCAUGAUUUACAUUUGAGUGAGUGGCGAACUGGUGAGUAACACGUGGGAAACCUGCCCAGAAGCGGGGGAUAACACCUGGAAACAGAUGCUAAUACCGCAUAACAACUUGGACCGCAUGGUCCGAGUUUGAAAGAUGGCUUCGGCUAUCACUUUUGGAUGGUCCCGCGGCGUAUUAGCUAGAUGGUGGGGUAACGGCUCACCAUGGCAAUGAUACGUAGCCGACCUGAGAGGGUAAUCGGCCACAUUGGGACUGAGACACGGCCCAAACUCCUACGGGAGGCAGCAGUAGGGAAUCUUCCACAAUGGACGAAAGUCUGAUGGAGCAACGCCGCGUGAGUGAAGAAGGGUUUCGGCUCGUAAAACUCUGUUGUUAAAGAAGAACAUAUCUGAGAGUAACUGUUCAGGUAUUGACGGUAUUUAACCAGAAAGCCACGGCUAACUACGUGCCAGCAGCCGCGGUAAUACGUAGGUGGCAAGCGUUGUCCGGAUUUAUUGGGCGUAAAGCGAGCGCAGGCGGUUUUUUAAGUCUGAUGUGAAAGCCUUCGGCUCAACCGAAGAAGUGCAUCGGAAACUGGGAAACUUGAGUGCAGAAGAGGACAGUGGAACUCCAUGUGUAGCGGUGAAAUGCGUAGAUAUAUGGAAGAACACCAGUGGCGAAAGCGGCUGUCUGGUCUGUAACUGACGCUGAGGCUCGAAAGUAUGGGUAGCAAACAGGAUUAGAUACCCUGGUAGUCCAUACCGUAACGAUGAAUGCUAAGUGUUGGAGGGUUUCCGCCCUUCAGUGCUGCAGCUAACGCAUAAGCAUUCCGCCUGGGGAGUACGGCCGCAAGGCUGAACUCAGAGAGAUAUGACGACGG
rnacentral:rRNA from 1 species